GGACGCUGUCCAACACUGAUAAUGGCGCCACACCAAGUCCCUCUUCAUUACUGCUCACUCCAUUACCUAAAACAAUAUAGUGUUACAAAAUGUUUCAACUUUAAUUACAGCACCCAUAUGUUUAAAAAAAGUAUAAGUAAAUUUCAUAUUAUAGAUCCAAUACUAAAUUUCUUUUUUUAAAUCAAACACGUACAACUGUUUUACGGCACAGUGUACCUAGAUCAUGAUUGUUGCUGAUUAAGUACGACAUAUAUUUACUAAUAAUUCUGUACAAUUUCGUCUGUGACAUUGUUUAUAAAUAAAGAACUAUAAUUACAACUUUGACUUCAAAUUUGAUGACAGGCUAUGGAUACUAAACUUUUAUCAGUGAAUUUUAAGUGUACUCUUCAGAAUUUUAUAUUAUAAUAACACACCGCUCGUAGAACAUUCAUUAUGCACGGAUGUACAUUUGAAAAUAUCUAAAGACAUUAAAUACCCUAACUAUAAUUGGUAUUGCUAGCGUUGUAUACCUAUUUCAUGUUGAAUUAUGCUUGUUUUUCAUUACUUUGUGUGCAAUAUUAUACUUUUGCUAUACUUACUUAUGGAGGGAAAUAAUGUUCUCUGCACGACGCUCCUGGGAAAUACACCUCCAGACGUGGAUGGUGAACCUAGGCUGAUGGUGUAACACGUUUUCGUACCGAGCUGGGCAUAAAAAUGAGUUCACGUUGUGGUGUUCUAAAAAUUAGGUCCUCCUCAGAUUGGGAUGGUCUUGGAGGUGAUGGUGCAUCAAUUCCCUGUUCUGUGGCAAACGAUGGACCUGUAUAGUUCAAGUAAUAAAUAUUUUACAUGUCACUUCAAAGGAUAUUUUUACCAAUCGGCAAAUUUUGCGAAGGCACAGCAGUUUUCCUUAAUAAACGCGAAUUCAGGAUUUUAUCCUCUUCCUUAAAAUGGUUGUGGCAAACGAAACACUUUUUAUAAAUACCAUUAUCUCCUAGUUGCUCGAAUCGAGGAUUAUUUGCUGCCAGAACCCACUUACGAAAACGUUCCCCGUUUGUUUUUGGAUUGGGGAAACGGUACAUCGGUAGCUCUCGCUUUCCGCAGCCUUUUACAGAACAAGUAUUUUUGGCUAAUGUGCUCGUCAUCGUGC